rnacentral:rRNA from 1 species
AUUGAACGCUGGCGGCAUGCCUUACACAUGCAAGUCGAACGGUAACAGGUCUUCGGAUGCUGACGAGUGGCGAACGGGUGAGUAAUACAUCGGAACGUGCCCGAUCGUGGGGGAUAACGCAGCGAAAGCUGUGCUAAUACCGCAUACGAUCUACGGAUGAAAGCGGGGGAUCGCAAGACCUCGCGCGGACGGAGCGGCCGAUGGCAGAUUAGGUAGUUGGUGGGAUAAAAGCUUACCAAGCCGACGAUCUGUAGCUGGUCUGAGAGGACGACCAGCCACACUGGGACUGAGACACGGCCCAGACUCCUACGGGAGGCAGCAGUGGGGAAUUUUGGACAAUGGGCGAAAGCCUGAUCCAGCAAUGCCGCGUGCAGGAUGAAGGCCUUCGGUUGUAAACUGCUUUGUACGACGAAAGAACUCUGGUUAAUACCUGGGUUCAUGACGGUACCGUAAGAAUAAGACACCGGCUAACUACGUGCCAGCAGCCGCGGUAAA